rnacentral:rRNA from 1 species
UACGUAGGGGGCAAGCGUUGUCCGGAAUCAUUGGGCGUAAAGCGCGUGUAGGCGGUUCGAUAAGUCUGCUGUGAAAGUCCAGGGCUCAACCCUGGGAUGCCGGUGGAUACUGUCGGACUAGAGUACGGAAGAGGCGAGUGGAAUUCCCGGUGUAGCGGUGAAAUGCGCAGAUAUCAGGAGGAACACCGAUGGCGAAGGCAGGUCUCUGGGCCACUACUGACGCUGAGAAGCGAAAGCAUGGGGAGCGAACAGG